UACGAAGGGUGCUAGCGUUGUUCGGAAUUACUGGGCGUAAAGCGCGCGUAGGCGGCGAUAAAAGUCAGGGGUGAAAUCCCACAGCUCAACUGUGGAACUGCCCUUGAAACUGUAUCGCUAGAGUGUCGGAGGGGAUAGCGGAAUUGCUAAUGUAGAGGUGAAAUUCGUAGAUAUUAGCAGGAACACCGGUGGCGAAGGCGGCUAUCUGGACGACAACUGACGCUGAGGCGCGAAAGUGCGGGGAUCAAACAGG
rnacentral:rRNA from 1 species